GUGCUUCCUGCAAACGACAGGCACUGUCCUCGAUCAAGAAAGCUUCUUCUGUUUUCCAGGAUCUCACGUGGAAAGAAUGAAGCAGUAAAUCUGUGGACACGGUGCGGCUGAAGAUGCCUGAAGAGGGGCAACAGGGCCGAGAGAGUCGGAAGGAGGUAAAGGUAGCGGUGCACACGGAUGGCAGAGAAUAACUGUAGUGACUAAGCUCCCAGGCACGGCAAGGACUUCCUGAGAAGCAGCAUCCCUGAAGAAUCAAAAGCUGGACAGCUGCCGUAAUAGAAAUGAUGGAAGCCAGAAAACAGUAAAACGGCAUCUUUGAAGCACUGAAAGAAGAGAUCUGCGGAUCCAGGCUUCCACCUCCAGAAAAAAACACCCUGUGAAAACGAAGGUGCCCAAAGAUUGACAGCAAUCUGCAGAGCCCACCUCAAGCAACACUGGCCU